UAACAGUUUUUAUUAUUAGUAUAAGUUAACAAUACAAAACUGGCUAGAGCAAGAAUCACUAUUACAUUUGAUCUUACAUUAGAGUACUAAAUAUAUCUUAACCGCUAACAACCAUUUGUUGCUUUGUUUGUUUUAUUGUCCCUUGUGGUUAUAGCAACAUUUGAACUGUUGUUGACUAAAAAUUGCUGAAUGGCUGUUAGAACUUUCAUUUCUUCUUAGCAUCUUAAAUAGAAUAUGAUUAAGUCACACAUAGUGUCAAACCAAAUUCUGUGUAUAUUUUUUCAGAAAUAUUCCCUUAGCAAGCAAAGGCAGCUGUGAAAGGAAGUUGUGGCAGAGGGAAUCACACAUUGACGACCCACCCAUAUGAUGUAAAUUGUGGUUGAUCUGGAGCACUGAACCCUCAUGUCACAAUGGGAGUUCCUGUCACAUUACUGACAAAAG